AUUGAACGCUGGCGGCAUGCUUUACACAUGCAAGUCGAACGGUAACAGGCCGCAAGGUGCUGACGAGUGGCGCACGGGUGAGUAAUGCAUCGGAAAGUGCCCAGUCGUGGGGGGUAACUACUCGAAAGAGUAGCUAAUACCGCAUACGAUCUAUGGAUGAAAGAGGGGGACCGUAAAGCCUCGCGCGAUUGGAGCGGCCGAUGUCAGAUUAGGUAGUUGGUGGGGUAAAGGCUCACCAAGCCAACGAUCUGUAGCUGGUCUGAGAGGACGACCAGCCACACUGGGACUGAGACACGGCCCAGACUCCUACGGGAGGCAGCAGUGGGGAAUUUUGGACAAUGGGCGCAAGCCUGAUCCAGCAAUGCCGCGUGCAGGAAGAAGGCCUUCGGGUUGUAAACUGCUUUUGUACGGAACGAAACGGCUCUGGUUAAUACCCGGGGCUAAUGACGGUACCGUAAGAAUAAGCACCGGCUAACUACGUG
rnacentral:rRNA from 1 species